rnacentral:tRNA from 1 species
GUUCCCGUAGCUCAACGGAUAGAGCAGACCCGUCCUAAGGGUAAGAUAGGGGUUCAAUUCCUCUCGGGAACA